CUUUUUCAUUUGUAGGGCUCCUGCGAGAAAGAGGAAGAGGCAGAGGAGCUAAUUAAGGAGACUGGGUGACUUUGCCCUGCAUCUCCAACCUUUCCCAAACAUCUGCCCCACCGGCCAGAGGCAGCUAGAACCUGCUGCUAGUAGUCUUCUUGCUCUUUUGAGAAACCAUCAGAAAGCAUCUGCAAACAACAGUGAUUGCCUGAUAACGGAGAGAAGCACAAUUUCCAAUUACAGCCUGGGUGAUUGCUCUGGCUUUUAAUUAAUGGAGUGUGCAUCUGUUUGCUGAGACCCUUCUGAAUGUGCUUUCUUGGAGUUCCUUAAUUAGUUACAAGAAGCUGCAGGUGUUCUGUCAGGAGCACAGUGGACCUGGGACAGCUUCCAGAAGAGACUCUUCUUUAAUGUAAAUAUUUAGUCAUCUGAUGAUGGGGCGCCUUUUAGAGUUCUCAUUCCUGUUCCGUGCGCAAGCAGUGGUGUCGGAAGACACAUCUAGGCUUCAUUUGGAUUGUUGACAAAAUAAAUUGAAGUGGAAGAGACCAAUUUUCAUUAUGGCAGACACUUAUCUGCAGUUAGACCAUUACCAGGAUGACAAGCUAUUCUCACACUGUCACACUGAGCCUGCUGCCUGGGAGUUUUGUUUUGUUUUGUUUUGUUUUUGUGGGGCAGAAAUGUGGGUGUAGGUGAUGGGACACUACAUGCUAAUCCUGUAGCUGGAUUGCAUUUGAUAGCUGUUAUUCAGAGGGACACUGCAGGAAACGAGCGAGCGAGUGGAGAUUGAAUCAUAAAGGCUUCUGCGUCAGGUUAUGAAAAAUUGGCGACGUUGCUUCUUCCUGAAGUCAUUACCACCUCUGGAUUGUGUGCUGAUGUUGCCAUGUGAAAGAUGUUCCAGGCUGAGGUGAAAGCGUCCGUGAUAAUUGGAUGUGCGGGCGUCAGAGGGUGAGGACAGAGGGGCAGGCACACUGUGCUCUGUGGGUCAAGCGCUCCACAGCCUGGUUUGAAGAGGCAUCUGUUUUGCGUUUGUGCUUGGAGUAUAAUUGUGACCAGCAGUGGAUACUGGAUUCUGCCCAUCUCUACUGAGGCACCGCUGAUGACUAUCAACACCAUGCCAGAAGACCAAGAAGAGGGCCAUGAAGUGGGGAAGAGGAACCAAAAAUUUCCCUGUGUGAUGAGGGUUGGUGUCUUGAUUUUCUUUGGUUCGGAUUCUCCUCAAACUGAAGAGCUAUCUCCCUGCUGCGUAGCCCAAUAAAAGACAGCACCAUACAGGUA